GACGAACGCUGGCGGCGUGCUUAACACAUGCCAGUCGAACGGAAAGGCCCUGCUUUUGUGGGGUGCUCGAGUGGCGAACGGGUGAGUAACACGUGAGUAACCUGCCCUUGACUUUGGGAUAACUUCAGGAAACUGGGGCUAAUACCGGAUAGGAGCUCCUGCUGCAUGGUGGGGGUUGGAAAGUUUCGGCGGUUGGGGAUGGACUCGCGGCUUAUCAGCUUGUUGGUGGGGUAGUGGCUUACCAAGGCUUUGACGGGUAGCCGGCCUGAGAGGGUGACCGGGGAGGGUGGGAGGGGGGGACGGCGGAGGUGGGGGGGGGAGGCGAGGGGGGGGAAGAGGGGGCAGGGGCGGGGAGCCUGAGGGAGUAGGGGGGGGGGGGGGCGGACGGCGGGGGGGGUGUCAGCCGCUUGGGGGGGGGACGAAGGGUGGGUGGCGGGAAGGGGGAAAGAAGCACCGGCGAACGACGCGUCAGCAGCGGGGGUAAUAGGGGGAAGAGCACCGGUAUGAAC
rnacentral:rRNA from 1 species